ensembl:misc_RNA Metazoa_SRP Metazoan signal recognition particle RNA
GCCGGGUGUGGUGGUGCAUGCCUGUAAUCCCAGCUACUCAGGAGGCUGAGGCAGGAGAAUCGCUUGAACCCAGGAGGCAGAGGUUGCAGUGAGCCAAGAUCGUGCCACUGCACUCCAGCCUGGGUGACAGAGCGAGACUCUGUCUCAA